ACCAAUUGGUUCGAAUCUGUAAAGUUUUGUGCAGAUCACACCAUGGAAUUGGCCACUAUUAUGUCGAAAGAGGAGGAGGACGCUAUUUUAGCAUACAUGAAAUGAAUUAAUUAUGGGAAAUAUGAACUUUGGGUAAAUGGUAAUGAUUUAGCUUAUGGAAAUAAGGCACCGAAAAAGGAAAAAUUCACUUGGAUAUCAACUGGAAAACCACUCGGUUACAGUAACUGGACACCGGGCGAACCUAAUCAUGGUAAACUUUUGGGCGAAGUUGAACAUUGCCUAGAGAUAAAUCAUCUAGGCGGAUGGAAUGACUUCGCAUGCAAAAAGGGCUCUAGAUAUUUGGUAUGCCAAAUUCCAAAACAAAUUAACAUAUGACGUGUGUCAUACAAGAAAAUAUUACGAUGACCAAUGCCAAUUUUGCAAUCAAAUGAUAUGUGAAUUGUAGAUGAAAAAUAAAUUGAUUUGGUACGUUUUCUUCACUGAA